GGGGCGGUGCGGAAGCCGGAGGGGUGGUCUUCGCCGUCGACGAGGGCGGCCCGAACGGGACGCUGCGUGCCCUGUUCGGUGCCGGGCUGCGCCGCC
rnacentral:tRNA from 1 species